rnacentral:tRNA from 1 species
GGAUUGUGGCUCAGAGGAAGAGCGCUUGCCUUGCAUGCGUGAGACACUGGGUUCGAUCCACAGCACCA